ACGACCUUACUUGAACAGGAUCUGUUCUAUAGGCCUCGUACAUCUGUAUCCUUGGUUACUAAGGAGACAGGACCCCAGGUCUUGUAGAUGAAACGCGGCCGCAUGAUCAGAGCGUGAUUAACAAUUCUGGACGCUCGAGUCAGGAGAUGGUCAUGCGGCUUUCUGACAGACC